GUGUUGCAGAAAAUUCCCCACUGACAAUCUAGGCCGCAUUAGGGGAAACUUUUCACGAGUUUUAUUGAUCUCUUUGGGCUUCUUCUAGAAGAAAGAGCACUGCUUCCAACAGGGCUAUGAAACACCCAAGGCCUGGGAGGAACCAAGGGAAUUGGAGCAGUGCCUUUGGGAGACCAAAAGAAAUAAGAAGGUCCCAAGGCACGCCCCUGUAGUAGGAAUAUGCUCUUGACCUCAG